rnacentral:rRNA from 5 species
ACGACUCUCGGCAACGGAUAUCUCGGCUCUCGCAUCGAUGAAGAACGUAGCGAAAUGCGAUACUUGGUGUGAAUUGCAGAAUCCCGUGAACCAUCGAGUCUUUGAACGCAAGUUGCGCCCGAAGCCUUGGCUGAGGGCACGUCUGCCUGGGUGUCAC